rnacentral:rRNA from 1 species
UACGUAGGGGGCAAGCGUUAUCCGGAUUUACUGGGUGUAAAGGGAGCGUAGACGGCAGUGCAAGUCUGGAGUGAAAGGCGGGGGCUCAACCCCCGGACUGCUCUGGAAACUGUACGGCUGGAGUGCAGGAGAGGUAAGUGGAAUUCCUAGUGUAGCGGUGAAAUGCGUAGAUAUUAGGAGGAACACCAGUGGCGAAGGCGGCUUACUGGACUGUAACGGACGUUGAGGCUCGAAAGCGUGGGGAGCAAACAGG